rnacentral:rRNA from 1 species
CGGGUGAGUAAUGUAUAGGUAACCUGCCCCGAAGAGCGGGAUAGCGUUUGGAAACGGACGCUAAUACUGCAUAUACCUUCUAAUCACAAGGUUAGAAGGGAAAUGAAUUUCGCUUCGGGAUGGGCCUUUAUCGCAUCAGCUAGUUGGUAAGGUAACGGCUUACCAAGGCUAUGACGCGUAGCUGAUCUGAGAGGAUGAUCAGCCACACUGGUACUGAGACACGGACCAG